UACGUAGGGUGCAAGCGUUGUCCGGAAUUAUUGGGCGUAAAGAGCUCGUAGGCGCUUGUCGCGUCGGCUGUGAAAACCUGGGGCUCAACCCCGGGCCUGCAGCCGAUACGGGCAAGCUAGAAUUCGGUAGGGGAGACUGGAAUUCCCGGUGUAGCGGUGAAAUGACGCAGAUAUCAGGAGGAACACCGAUGGCGAAGGCAGGUCUCUGGGCUGACACUGACGCUCAUGCACGAAAGCGUGGUAGCAACAGG
rnacentral:rRNA from 1 species